rnacentral:lncRNA from 1 species
ACUGGCCUUAGGAGCAGGAGGCCGAGCAGCCAGGGCUGCUUUCCCAUCGCUGUCUCAGCUGCUCCCGCUGGCCUUCUGCUCAGGCUGGUGUCUCCUUGGCCGGCUCCCUGCUUCUCAGCUCAUGCCUCCAGCCUUCUGGACUCUAGGAUCACAUGUGGCUGCCCACCUCGGACAGGGUUGACUAGAGGUGAAGAGGUGCCAUGCACUCCAGGAGAAGAGCUGACUGGAUCCUAUACUCAAAGAAUGGGCCACGGAUCCCUACCUGUCCACUGUUUGUUACUGGGCUGGGAAGCUGCAAGACCCGAUGCUGGGGAACUUCCAGUCUAUGCUGAGUAAGAGUGAUGAGAGCAGACAUCCUGCCUUUGUUCCUAAUCUUAGGAGGAAAGCAUUCAAUCUUUCACAGAUAAUAAUUUCCACUAGAACUUUGGGGAGCUCAGCAGAUGCAAUUGGAUUUUUUUGUCCAAACUAAUGACUUGUUUCUGGAAAGAAAACUGUUACCAUCAACGGGAUUCUUUUUCUUUUUUAAAACAUUAUACAGUGUUUGGUUCAGGCCAGCGGUGUGGGAUGGGAUUUAGUCUCCGGAUUUGCCAAGAUGUUUAUGCAGCAGGAAUGUUACUUAUGUAAGCCUGGAAGCGCUCCUGAUGUGCUAUAGCCUCCUCUUCCAUCACAGCUUUUUUUCAUUAAGAAGUUGAUCUUCCUUUCAUGAUACCACAUUAAGUGGCUGAAAGGAAAAGAAAAAAAUUGUUUACUGUACUAAAUAACCUAACUCUCCGCAAAGCAUCCAUUUGGUUAAAGGAACUGCAAGGAGCUCUGGAAAACGGGGCUGAGAAUUGUUUUGAUGCUCUCAGCUUGGCCCCUCACUCACUUCCUGUUGCUCUCUAGUUGCAAUCAAACUCAUAUGUGGGAAAAUAGAAAAUGCUUUUAAAAGAAAAGAAAGAUGAAUUCACAAACAAGCAAAACACCCUCUUUUACAUUUUUUCUGGGGACUGAAAUUUCCAUGUAAUGGAAAAGUGUCAAAUGAGAGAAAUCAUCAACGCUAAACAUGAAUGAAACACAAAUAAAAGCUAUAUGUGAGAAGCUAAGGAAGAAAAGGGUUAAACUCACCCUGCCACAGAUGAGUAAAUAUCUACAUGUUUAUAUAACCAACCAACAAACUCACUGAGAGCAAACAGGACAUUGUGAGGUGAAAACAGAGCUGUGAAAGUCGGACACUCCCAGCCCUCCCGGCUUAUCUCAUCCUCUGCUUUUCUGUGGAUGCUGCCCUAUGAGUCAGACGAGAUGAGAAACUUUAAUCAUUCUAAGCAGAUGUGUAUCAGCACUCUCUGAUAAAAGCAUGCCAGCACACUGCACCAGUCUGUAUCGGCACCCAUCCUCCAACAAAGCAAUGGUCCCUCAACCAAGACGGUAACAGCUCAGGUUAGACUAGCCCAGCGACCCCUCCCUGGGCUGUUCUGUGACAUCAGCAGUGCAGAGACGGAGAUUCUUCGCAGAGGGUCCUAGGCUGGGCUUGAAGCAUCAAAACAGAUUGACAGUGUCAGGAGCUGAAAGAAGAUGAGGACCAGUCAGCGCAGGGAGGCGAAUUUUGAGAAAUACCCAGCGGAGUGCUCUGAGUUGAGGCUUAGAGAAGAGACAAAAGGUUUGCAAAGCAGAGAAAGUCAGGGAUUCGAACUGUGGGUGGGUGGCCCUGGGGUAGAGCCAGGGCGCCUGGGUGCAGAAAUGUACUCCAUGCAAGAACUUUCUGGCGGGCACAGUCGGAGGAGGGGCUGCCUCAGCAGGAUGUGUUCCCCACCCCCGGAGGUGGAUAAGUUUGCGCAUAGUCACAACUUGGCGUGGAUUACAUGGACCUGGAGCUCAACGAGGUGUCCUUAGUGGGAUGGAGUACUGCCUUCAGCAAGACGGCAAGAACAAAGACAAAGAGGAUGCUACAGUGAACCUGGAAAGCUCUAGGUGAAUCUUUUUAUGAGUUUAAAAAAUAAGAGUCUGUGUGAUGAAAAUUACAAGCCACUGAUGAAAGAAAUCAAGGAAGACCUAACGCAUGGAGACACGUCAGGGUUCAUGGAUUCGAAGGCUCAGCACGACAGAUGUCUCUUCUACCCAAACUGACGGCAGUUUUAACACCAUUCCUAUCAAAAUCUCAGCAAGGUUUUUACAGAUACAGACAAGCUUAUUCUAUAAUAUAUAUGAAAAAGGAAAGGCCCGAGAUAACAAUCUCUGACAGAGGAGAAUGAAGUAGGAGAAACCACAUACCCGGUACUGAGACUUACUACAGAGCUAUAGAAACCAAGCGUGGUGCUGGCAGAGGGCAGACACACACAUCAGCAGCACCGAAUGGAGGCCCAGCGCUUGACACUUCCUGACCUGUGAGUGUUGACCCAUCAGAUGAGUUCCGGAGUCUCUUCCCCCCCUCUCCUUGCCCUUUAUCCCUGGGGAAGUCCAGUGCUGACAGGGAGCUUCCAUGCCACCCUGGCAUGGGACAGGGGCCAUCUAGGUGGCAGGCCAGCCUUCAAACCUCUGCACAUCCUCACUGAAUGGGGCCCCCACUCCAUGUCCUCUACUGCCAACUCUUAGCCAUCUCCACCUCGCUCCUAGGAGCCCCAGAAAGCUGUGAGUGCCCCCCAGGCCAUUUCAGCUCUGCAGAGGACAAGUGCCACCCCACCUCUGUCCCAGUCUCCUCCAGACCGUGUCUCUCCAGAUGGCCACCAGCCAGGCCACAGAGUCUCAGAGGAAAAAGGGGGUCCAAGUUCCUCUGCCUUGGCAUCCCUCAACCUACCAUGAGGUAUCUCUGACCCCUGGAAAGUGGGGUGAGUCAUCCCACAGUGCAGGGCCUGAUCCUGGGGCCUCUCAGUCAGCAGGAACCCCCCUGUCAUCCUAUCCCACACUCUUCCCUCCUCUUCUGCAGGAAGUGCCAGAUGCCUUUGUCCUCUCAAAGCUAUCAUCCUUGUGUGUGCUUCUGAGAGCAGGAUUGGACUCCAUGGGUCGAGGCUUCCCCUGCAGGCCUCACUGGGCUCUUCCGGGUCUCCCUUCCCUGAGACAGUCAGCCCCAGCCUUGAGUCUGGCUGGAAGGGAGGAAGAGCUACAGGCAAAGAGGAAUGACUGACAAGGGAGCCUGUGGGGUGGGGGAACGGCUCCUCCAGCUUUAGUCAGCAGCAGCUCCCUCGUGCCUUCCUCCCAAGGGACCUGAGGAGCAGAUGACCAUCCCGGCUUCCCCGGCAACGGGACAGAUGUGAAAAGGCCACCUCUCAUAUGCCUUCAAGAGGUUGCAUCCAGGCAGGCAGUGGGUGCUAGAGGGGUGAACAGGCCUCCCGGCAGGGGAAGAAGUCUGGCUGAAGUCCCCUGGGCAGGAAGAGGAGCUGACAGUAGGCCAGUGGGGCCCAGGCAGCACAAAGUGUGAGGAGAAGCCAGGGGCAGGCAAUAGAGCCUUUGUCUUCAUUUUGUGGUGUUUUUCAUCUCACUCACUGAACUUGAAGUGAGAAGUGGCCGGUGUGGAGGCCUGGCUCGGGCCUUCCCUUCACCCCCAGUUCCUUACAACUCACACUUGACCCAUGGGGCCAUGGGGGCUUAGACGUGGAGCCCACCUGGGGAGGUGGGCCUUACGGCCCCUCUUUUCUUGCUGAUGAGGAAAUGGAGGGAUGGGGUGCCGAAGUGACCUGGGCAAGGUGGACCCAGCCCUGUGUUCAUUCCUCUUUCCUGGUAUCAGCUGCCUCAUUUCCUUGGGGUGUCAACCCCAUCACGAUUGUAUUCUAUCGCGUGGUUCUGCAGCCUUGCGUGGAUGCCUCCACUCAGGAGAAGGAUGUGAGUGAGGCUGAAAUACUCAGCACAGUCCAGCCCGACUGAUGUGAUUAGUUUGGAGACAAACACGCGGCCUAGUUCACUCGGUAAGCAGCAGCCUCUGGGCUUGUUUGCAGCCGCUGAUGUAGCCCAGGAGCUGGUCAAGGGCUGCUCCUUGGAAGGAGCUGCCUGAGAGUGAAGCCAAAAGCCAAAGAAAGCUGAGCUAGAGGAUGACAGACAGCUUCCUGGUGACACUGUUAGAGCAUCUGGAUCCAGCUAUACCUGAAGCUACACCUUAAACAUUUUAAUUACAUUCAUCAAUGUUUCUUUUUGCUUAAGACGGUUUGAUUUGUGUUUAUAUUAUUAGAACCUCACAGGCUUGUCUAAUCUAGCAUCCCCGGGCCGGCCUCCUUUUCCUCCUUCUCCCCUUGGCCAGUAUAAAGAAUGAAGCUUUCUGGAGCCUGUUCACAGCAUGAAGCUCUUCCACUCACCUGCAGCCUGUAAUUAGGGGCCUGCUGGCUGAGAGAACCUCAUUCCCUUUUGCAGCCUCUGGAUCUACAGCUCUGCAGUUCCACCAACAGUAUCAGCCUCAAUGUAUGUGAGACACACUGCCAACGCCCAGAGCCCUGUGCUCAGCCAGUCUGACCUCCAGGCCCUCUAAACCCUGCAGGAUGAGGUACUUGUACCCAGAGUGUACCUCCCGCACUGUGCGGUGUGGCUGCCGCCCAUGGCCCCAGAUCUCUCCACUGCCUUGGGGGAGCUCUCAGGCCUGCCAGGGCUGAAGAGCUGUGAACACACAUCGCUGGGGGGUGGAAGGGCUGUUUUUUCCAAUGGCCUUUUCCAAGCCAGGAAGAACUGAAAUGUGAGCUCCCCCUCCUUUAACCACAAGCAGAGCUGCCAAGGCAGUCAGCUCCCUCCUCCUGUGUGUGGUGGGAGCCCGUAUGGGCACAGAGCCACAGCAGUGGGGAAUGUGAUGGGGCAGAGAAGCGGAAGGCACCAGGGGCUUCCUGUGGUCGAAUAAUGAAAAAACACCCCAGAUAAGCACUGGGGUUCCACGACACCACCUUCUGGAGCUCUCAGGCCCUAGCAAAAUAAUUUCACAUCUGUAAACCUCAGUCUCUCAAUCCAUAAAAUGGACAUACAAAUCCCUCCUGCCACGGUCACUGAGAGGAAGAACGGGAUGAUUGGCAAGAGGGUGUGACAUGGCGCUGGCACGUACUAGAUGCUCAGGGAGUUGCGGUAGCUGUAGCAAUCGUCCCGUGAGGCAGGUGCCUUUGUUGCCCCAUUUCACACAGAAGAAGGCAGCAGCUCGGUGGGCAGCUUGCCCAAGGGAAUGGCAGCGGUUCUGGUCCCUGUGACAGCGACACCCAAGGGAGCUGGCUUCAGUGGGAAGCAGCCUCUGAGGCCGGGCAGGGAGCAGCUGUUAUUGGUGGCCCCUAGGGUGAGAAUCAAGACUUUGAGAGGAGGGAAAGUCCAAGAAAAUCCCUGAGAGCCCCAGGACAUGUGCUGUUGGGUGAAAUAAUUAAGAAAACCUGCCCGAUCUCCCACGGAGACAGAAAUCAUCCCCUGCCGCUCCGGGCUGAUCCUCACCGUCCAGCUCCUAAUUCUUCACAGCUGUCCCUGCCUUCAAGUUCAGAUGACCUGUGUUUGAACCCUGGGUGCACGUGGACCAGUUCUGUGGGCUUCUCUGGUCAUCGGUUUUCUAUAAAAUGAGGAUAAUUAGAGCCACCUUGGAGGUGAGUGAAUGAGAGUGGAGGCAGGGCUCGUGUGUGUCAUGCGGUUCCUGAGCCUCCCUCCCCAUCAGCCUGGGGUGGGAGGUGAGGCUUCGUUACCUUGUGGGCACCAGGCAAAAGGCUGCAGAAGCCUGAGGGUAGAGGCAGAUAAGGGACAUCCUCUGAGUCCUCAGGGCCACAGGGACAGGACCUGCCACCCGGCAGUGUCCACGAGACAGGAGUGAGUGGGCUCCUCUUCCAGCCCGGGAGUUAACGGGACCUGUGGAACCCUUCCUGUCUUUGCAAAUGCCAGGUGUUGCUUCCUGAUGGUCCCUCCUCGCUUAGGGAAGCCCCUGCCCACAGAAGGCCACUCAGGGAGAGGCCCUGUUUGUGUGUCUGUGUGUCCAGGAGCCAGAGGUGCCAGGGGUGGGAUGCAGAGACCUGCCCGAGGCCUCACCCUCCACGUAGCCAGGCUUCCUCCCUCUACCACCUUCCCUGGGAGGUGGAAAUGAGGGUUGUAAGGGGAUCCAGCUCCUUCCUCUUCACUUUAUUGCUGCCCUAGGUGUUUACGCCCCAUGCAAGUCCUGCAUGGAGGCAUUAGGUCAGCUGUUCAGCCUAGGCCUUCCAGCCAAGUGCAUUAUAGCACUGCCCUCCUGGGAUGGCAACAGCCACCCAGCCCCUCCACAAGUGGCCACCCCCACACGUCUCGCCCUCCCAGGGGCUGUCAGAGUGACCCACCCAGUCUGUCAGAUUUUAGCCCCAGGUGCAGCGACCUCCCCCUACUGUGGGCAGGAGGCAACUCCGCCCCAGAUCCCCAGGUCUUCUGUGGUUGCCCAGAGCCCCAGGGAGCGAUGGUGGCCAUCCCUGAGUGGGGAGGCAGGUGGACCCGAGCACCGACCAGCUCCUGAGAGCAGUUGCAGUUGCAAGUCCAUAAGGGCCGCCCUCAGGCUGUGCCGGGACCUUGCUCUAGGGGCCUCGUUGGUUCUCAUGCAGUCCUGGAGUUGGAGACUAAAGACAGCUCCAUAUUACUGAAGAUACAGCAGAGACACACAGCAGGUGAGAAGCGUGUCCUGGGUGGGUUUCCUGAGGAUCUGCCAUCAUGAGUGGAAAGCCCUGGCAGGGUACGGGACCCUAACAGGAGAGAGCCAUUGUCAUGGCCCCUACACAGCUGACCUAGAGCUGGACAGGAGCUGGAUGGGGCCUGCUGGAAUAGGCUGAGCAGCAAAACAGAACAGAACAAGCAACCCAUACUUGGGAGAGCCUUCGUGACUCCACAAACCCCUCUUUUUCCCACAGCCUCUGUCUGCCUAGAGGUGCUGGGCCACGCACAACUCUGACCAUGUCCAGCCCUGUGAACAAAGGACCCAUGGCCAUCUGAUUCCUGGCCAGCCCAGCCUGGCACACAGGGUGGGGCUUCUCUGAUGCCCCAUGUGCCGCUCCAUUCUGCUGGAAGCUUACUGUGCUGACACACACUCAUCUGUGAAGUGCUGGAGUUUUGGAGAAGUCCCUCUGACUGAGCUGUGAUCAUUUAGCAUUUGGGAAAAAUGACCAAAGCAAUCAUGGGUGGGUGUGUUUCAUCUGCCCAAGACAGAAACCCCAUUCUAAACCUGGCCGGGUUGAAGCAGGGUUUUCACCUGCUUACAGACUCCGCCCCAGCCUCCAAGAUGGGUGGGGACAUCAUUGCAUCUCUGCCCGUUGCCCAAAGGUGACUGGGCCAGGAAUGGACAGGGAACACUGCUGGACCUAUCAGAGGCUUCCCCAGGAUUUUUAACCUGGGACCAGAGCUGCCAGGGCCAAGCCCUGAGGAGGGAGACUGUCCAAGAAAAGUCAGCCAUUCGGGAGGAGAGAGGAGAGUCCUAGUGGGGUUGGAGAGCCUAGUUGUUGUUGUCCUGGAAAAAAGAAAGAAUCCUGAUAAAAGCAGUUUUAGUGAAGUAAAAAUGACAAUAGGAGAGAGGGACUUUGUUCCAACGCUGCUUCAUGAAAAAAUGAUCAUGAAAUGAAAUGACCAUGACGGAAUUAGCUCUAGAAGAUAUUUUCUUCUCCAAAAUAGCCAAUAUUGAAACAAUUUGGGCUAAUGCUUUUAUAUUCAUAAACAUAGAGUCAAAAGCCCUCAGGGUUGAGAUGGUGGAUUCAAGAUGUCCUAAGUUCAGUAACUGAACACUGUCUCCCUGCUGGACCUCCCUCACUCCUUCCCACCCUACUGUGCCUCUGGAACCUUUAGCCUGUAGGAUUUCUUACAAACUCUUAAUAUGCAAAUAGCACUUAUUCUUAACUUAAAAAUCCCUUAAGUAAGACUACUUGGCAACCCAUAGUCAGCUUCCUUCAAGUCACUUUAUGUUCUUGAAAGUAAUCAAAAGUAAUCCAUUGCAACUGCUUUAAAAUAUUUUAGAAUUCCAAUUUCCCCCGUCUCUUCCUUCCCUCGGGUUGGCCAGCUUCCCAGGAUUCUGUCCUAUAAAAUUAAGUUAAUGAUAUCUUCAGGAUCAGCAUGUCUUUGUCUCUAAAUGUGGGAGUGUGUCUCCUCCAGGACUUGCCUUGGCCAGGCCUUCCCCUCCCACUCUGAGCCCCCUUCCCUCCCCGGGCAUGCAGCGCAAAGCCAAGGAGCUGGCUCAAGAGUAAAGAGUGGGCACCUCAUCCUUGCUCUCUGGGGCUUGCUGCAUGGACCUCUCUGCGCAUUCUGGGUCAGGGGUGGCAUGCAUCCAGCAUGCCUUCGUUGUCUGAGGCAGCUCCAGGCAAGGAGAGAUGUAGGAUAACUCAGCCAAGAGGUGGCCUUUCUUCUAGGCAGCAUCAAUCAGCCCCAUUGCCCUCUUGGCAGGUGCUCCAUAAAUGGUGCUUCCGCAGUUCCCUCCCUCUUCCCAGGUGUGGAAUGGCCCCAGGAAGUCAGGCCAGGGAACCACAGGCACAGCCUCCAGGUGACAGCUACAGGCUGGAGGGCCUGCUUUCUGUCUCUGGCCUCUUUUCAACAGCUUAUGAGAUUUUCAAAUGUCUCCAACUGACCCUCCCCACAAAUGACAUUUAUGAAGGACACACAGGGCUGGGUGCGGUGGCUCACGCCUGUAUUCCCAGCACUUUAGGAGGCUGAGGUGUGCGUAUCACGUGAGGUCUGGAGUUAGAGACCAGCCUGGACAGCAUAGCGAAACCCUGUCUCUACUAAAAAUACAAAAAUUAGCCAGGCAUGGUGGUGCAUGCCUGUGGUCCUAGCUACUUGGGAGGCUGAGGCAGGAGAAUCGCUUGAACUGUGGAGGCGGAUGUUGCAGUGAGCCGAGAUCACGCCACUGCACUCCAGCCUGGGCAAAACAGUGAGACUCUGUCUCAAAAAGAAAAAAAAGACACACAAUAGGCUGAUGACUUGCCUUAUUGUCCUGGACUCAGACAGGCACAGAGACGGAGAGGAAGGGAGGGAGGGAGGAAGAUCUGAGACUUGGAGAUGGGCCCCAGUCCAGUAGGCUGCUUGAGUGAGACCUGGGAACCAGGAAGCAUCCCUGGGCCGUGCUUAGCCAGAGAGCCAGACAGCUGGGCUGCAGAGCUGGCAGGGUUGGCAGGGUGAGUACAGUGGAAACCUUCCUAGACCUUGUCAGCCACAGGACAGUGUGUGCUCGCUCCCUCCCAACCUGCCCCAUUAGACAUCUGUGUGGUGGGGCCGCCUCAUUCCUGAUCAUGAGAGAAUGCUGUUAAAUUUGCAGAAAUCUUGUGAUCUGCUUGUUAAAUGCAGCUUUUAUUAAAAAAAAAAGAAUAGUAAGCUUACAAUGAGAUAAGGUAUAUUAAAAACAAUUGUAUUAAGAGCAAAGGUAUAACUCAAAACUCAUCAAACCCAUCGCUUUCUACUUAUUUUACUCAAUUUUACUAUUGAGUUUAUGUUUAUUUACAAUCUAUCUGGUGUUUAUAUGGUGGAAACACCAUAUAAUAUGUACCAUAUAAUACUGCAUACCUCUCCCCAACCUCCAAUGAUGUCAGGUUGGUGAGAUUGUUUAUACCACAGAAACUCGCAAAUACGAUAAACCAGGGGCUUCAACCCCCAACCCGCCCCCAACUCCCACACUGCUGACUCCCUGGUCCCCGAGUGCUUAAAUUUGCUAAUGUAUGUUACAUAAACAAGAUAAAGCACAGGCAAUACUUAGGGCAAUCAUGCUCCCCAAACUUUCCAGGACAGUUUCAAUUUAAAUAUUCUGCCUGCGGUCAAACUGCGGGACCCAAUCAGGUUUCAGAGCCAAUGUCAGCCGCAGGGAGGCCACCUGGAAGUGAGUGCCUGACACACAGACUUUCACCCGUCUCUUCGCCCCAGCCUCACAGCACCAGACCCUCAUUUCAUUAAUCUCCCAAAUUUAGGUCACAGAUAUCUCAAAUUACCUCCUUAUUUACAGACAUCAAGAUCUAAUGCUAAAACCUGGAGAGGGACAGAACCAGUCUGUUCCAGGGCCAGACUUGAAAAUAAAUAAUAAUAAAAUCCCCAAGCCUUAAGAUGUCCAUUGCCUGAAAUACGCAGUUUACAGCUUGAAAUUCAACUGACUCACAAACCACACAGCUGGUGACCCUCCCCACCUUCCCUCUCAAGCUAAUUGAAUUAAAAAAAAAAAAGUACUUAAAGAGGCCUGGUCUGUCCAAGAAGUAAACUCCAUGUACUUCCUCUCCCCUGGGCUGGAGGCACACUUGGCCACACAAGGCAUAUAAAAGCCCCUUUUGGAGAAUUGCUUGCUUCCCACAUGGCUUCUGCAGUCAGUGUAAUUUAAGAAACACACAACUCACGCACCCAGCUUUGGAAGUCACAGUGGGUAUACACCUGAGAGGGAAGCCGGGGGAUGGAGGGGUGUUUUUUGUCUGUGUUUAAGCCCCUGUGCUGGCUUCUUGAGAUUCCCAAUACUUUCCACACACACAAAAGGUUGAUCUAUGCACUCAGGGCAAAAGGCAAGUCAUGCAUUCCAAAGGAAAGCGCACAACAUAAAAUGCUAUCGGGAACGGACGGGAGGGUUUGGAAGGAGUCACGUCAGAAUGGUAACCGUGUUCAUCUGACACUGGUAGGGUUUUCUUCUGUAUAGUUCCCUGAAUUUUCCAGAUGGUGUAUGGUGAAGAGAUCUGGCA